AUUGAACGCUGGCGGCAUGCCUUACACAUGCAAGUCGAACGGCAGCACGGGAGCAAUCCUGGUGGCGAGUGGCGAACGGGUGAGUAAUACAUCGGGACGUGCCCAGUAGUGGGGGAUAGCCCGGCGAAAGCCGGAUUAAUACCGCAUGAGACCUGAGGGUGAAAGCGGGGGAUCGCAAGACCUCGCGCUAUUGGAGCGGCCGAUGUCAGAUUAGCUAGUUGGUGGGGUAAAGGCCUACCAAGGCAACGAUCUGUAGUUGGUCUGAGAGGACGACCAGCCACACUGGGACUGAGACACGGCCCAGACUCCUACGGGAGGCAGCAGUGGGGAAUUUUGGACAAUGGGCGCAAGCCUGAUCCAGCAAUGCCGCGUGCAGGAAGAAGGCCUUCGGGUUGUAAACUGCUUUUGUCAGGGAAGAAAUCCUCUGGGUUAAUACCUCGGGGGGAUGACGGUACCUGAAGAAUAAGCACCGGCUAACUACGUGCCAGCCGCCGCAGUAA
rnacentral:rRNA from 1 species